UUGACAUAGGGAGUUUGAAUGCUUUCAAUAUAUUGCAUUUCUUGCAUACCAAUUAUUUACAAGAUAUAGUGAUUCAUGCCAGAAGAAAUCAUUGCCCACAGGAGCCCUCCCAGCCCUCAGCUGGAACGGUUUGCAGCACACAGUCAGGUUGUAAUAAAAAGCAGUCACAGUCUUUAGCGCCUUGGGUUUUGAAUUGUGGAGACUGACAGCUCCCAUUUGUGUUUAGCCAUUUGUGUUUAGUUAGCUGGGACGUCCAGUUUGUGGCUAGCCCUCGUGCCAGAAGACGUUACUGCUCUCAGCCAUCCCAGUAAACCCAAUAGGGAAGGAUGACAAGUGGAGGUACUGGUGUGGCAUGCCAAUGGCAGGAUGGAUAUAAAUUGGUUGUAGUGAAGAAUAUAGCCAUGUAAGUAGAUUUAUACAGGUUCCUGAUUUUUCUUAAGUUCUGGAGAUUUUUUUAAAUUUUUUUUAAAUUUUUUUUCCAGAGAGGGUGUGGACUCUAGAAGCUGGUUUCUGAAAGCUAUUCUGAUGCCAGGUACUCCAAGAAUGCUAUAACUUGGCAUCUAACUGGGAAAAAAAGAGGGAGAAAACUCAAAAAGAAUCAACAGAGAAAACUGUAAAAUGUAGUGGUGGAACUGAUCACAUAUAAAGAUGCAAAUAAACGUGUAUACAUUGAAGUUGAAGGGCAAUGAUGAUAUCUUUUCAAUAUCUGCUUAACAUCAUAUAAAAGCAUGCGUUUAGCAUUGAUGGCAAAAAGUUAGAAAAAAAGAACUUACUUUCAAGAAGGCCACAGAAACUUUUGACUGGUGUAUCUACACCUACAGUGAAGGAGGAGGUAGAAAAUAUGCCUGCAGUGACAAGGGAGGAGGUAACAGCUGUGAAAACCAGCCUGACAUCUUUAGAACUGCCUGACAACAAAGACAGGAUUUUUAAAAAUUAAUUUCAGCAUGUGUUAAUUAAUUACAGCCUGAGGGGUUGGGCAAGGAGGUGAGAAUCCUGAUACAUUUAUGCAUUUGUGUUGAAACUCAUCCUUGAUCUUAGGACUUUAAUAGUAGAACAAAUGAACAGAAAUGAGCAGCCUCCCAGGCUGGAGAUCCUGAAAUGAAUGCAUUGAAGUGUAGAUACAUAACAGGUACAUAGCAGGAGCUGAAUCCAAUUAAUUCAACAGUCUCAAUUCAUUUGAGUGUUGGUUGAUAGCAAGUGGCAUUCGUUGCUCUCUUCAUGUCUCGCAAGUAAAAAUCAUUAGUGCUAUCGUAAUAGGCUUACACUUCUGGCAACACCACUGCACCAGCAGUGCGGGGACCUUCUCUUGACCCACUUGACAGAAAUCCCAGAAGGGCCAGUCCCUUCGUGUUGGGUAAUUAAUUAGCUUGCUGGAUGAUCCCUCCAAUUAAUGUAGGAUUGAGUUGUCUUGGCAGGGUAAGACGUGUCUGUUUGUGGUCGGCAUUGUAGAUAGUUUUCCUGACUAAAGAAACCACUUAUAUGACUUAUGAGUGUUGGAAUUGGGCAGGAUUCUCAGGAGCUGCUGAAAGUAUCAGCCCCUUGAGCAUAUUUUAAGUGAACCACGCUGAUGUGAUCCAAGAUCAUUAAUCAAAAAUAUAUAAAACAUAUAUUUAAAAAUAGGUGGCUAAUAUUGCUUUGUCUUCCAGAGUCCUGCAGUUUCUCACUUCCCUGCUUUGUGGGUCAGAUGCUUUGCAGCCAAUUUACAUCAAUUCCUGGCACUGUUUUUAAAGGAAGCAAGGGGGAACAGUGAGAAGUCUCACUUUCUGCCAACAACAGGAAGUGCAUGCUCUUUGAGUCAGACAGCUUGUUUCAGCGAUGCCUUUUGUUGAACCAACAAGUUACU
rnacentral:lncRNA from 1 species